rnacentral:rRNA from 1 species
UGCCUGGUAGUGGGGGACAACGCUCGGAAACGGACGCUAAUACCGCAUACGUCCUACGGGAGAAAGCAGGGGACCUUCGGGCCUUGCGCUAUCAGAUGAGCCUAGGUCGGAUUAGCUAGUUGGUGAGGUAAUGGCUCACCAAGGCGACGAUCCGUAACUGGUCUGAGAGGAUGAUCAGUCACACUGGAACUGAGACACGGUCCAGACUCCUACGGGAGGCAGCAGUGGGGAAUAUUGGACAAUGGGCGAAAGCCUGAUCCAGCCAUGCCGCGUGUGUGAAGAAGGUCUUCGGAUUGUAAAGCACUUUAAGUUGGGAGGAAGGGCAGUAAAUUAAUACUUUGCUGUUUUGACGUUACCGACAGAAUAAGCACCGGCUAACUCUGUGCCAGCAGCCGCGGUAAUACAGAGGGUGCAAGCGUUAAUCGGAAUUACUGGGCGUAAAGCGCGCGUAGGUGGUUUGUUAAGUUGGAUGUGAAAUCCCCGGGCUCAACCUGGGAACUGCAUUCAAAACUGACAAGCUAGAGUAUGGUAGAGGGUGGUGGAAUUUCCUGUGUAGCGGUGAAAUGCGUAGAUAUAGUNGGGUCCANAAUGGGGCGAAAGGCGACUACCUGGACUGAUACUGACACUGAGGUGCGAAAGCGUGGGGAGCAAAUAGGAUAAAAUACCCUGGUAGUCCACGCCGUAAACGAUGUCCUCUAGCCGUUGGGAGUCUUGAACUCUUAGUGGCGCAGCUAACGCAUUAAGUUGACCGCCUGGGGAGUACGGCCGCAAGGUUAAAACUCAAAUGAAUUGACGGGGGCCCGCACAAGCGGUGGAGCAUGUGGUUUAAUUCGAUGCAACGCGAAGAACCUUACCUGGUCUUGACAUAUCUAGAAUCCUGCAGAGAUGCGGGAGUGCCUUCGGGAAUUAGAAUACAGGUGCUGCAUGGCUGUCGUCAGCUCGUGUCGUGAGAUGUUGGGUUAAGUCCCGCAACGAGCGCAACCCUUGUCCUUAGUUACCAGCGGGUUAAGCCGGGAACUCUAAGGAUACUGCCAGUGACAAACUGGAGGAAGGCGGGGACGACGUCAAGUCAUCAUGGCCCUUACAACCAGGGCUACACACGUGCUACAAUGGUUAAGUACAGAGGGCAGCUACACAGCGAUGUGAUGCGAAUCUCAAAAANCCUAUCGUAGUCCAGAUUGGAGUCUGCAACUCGACUCCAUGAAGUAGGAAUCGCUAAGUAAUCGCGGAUCAAAAUGCCGCGGUGAAUACGUUCCCCGGGGCCUUUGUACACACCAGCCCCGUCACACCAUGGG